rnacentral:rRNA from 1 species
UACGGAGGGAGCUAGCGUUGUUCGGAUAUACUGGGCGUAAAGCGCGCGCAGGCGGUCUUCCAAGUCAGUGGUGAAAGCCCGGAGCUCAACUCCGGAACUGCCAUUGAAACUGUAAGACUUGAGGACGAGAGAGGUGAGUGGAAUUCCGAGUGUAGAGGUGAAAUUCGUAGAUAUUCGGAAGAACACCAGUGGCGAAGGCGACUCACUGGACAUGUAUUGACGCUGAGGUGCGAAAGCGUGGGGAGCAAACAGG